AAGGAUGUGGCGUUGCGAAGACAACCAGGAUGUUGGCUUAGAAGCAGCCAUCAUUGAAAGAGUGCGUAACAGCUCACUGGUCGAGUGACGCUGCGCCGAAAAUAAGCGGGGCUAAACACGCCACCGAAGCCGCGGCUGACGCGCGUGGGUGCGCGUUGGGGUAGGGGAGCGUUCCGUUCAGCGGCGAAGGCGGACCGGAAGGACCGCUGGAGCGGACGGAAGUGAGAAUGCCGGUAUGAGUAACGAAAAGACGGGUGAGUUCCUGGGGAAGGGUCGUCCGCCCAGGGUGAGUCGGGGCCUAAGGUGAGGCCGAGAGGCGUAGCCGAAGGGAAACAGGUGGAGAAUCCUGUACCGCCGGCCGGCCGUUUGAGCGAAGGGGGGACGCCGCGAGGAAGGGACGCGGGCGACUGGAAGGGCCCGUCCAAACCGCAAGGCAGGCGCAUAGGCAAAUCCGUGCGCGGGAUGCCGGGCGGUGAAGGGGAGGGGCGGUAUAUGCCCCGAAGGUCUCGGGUGAGCGGCCGAGAAAAGCC
rnacentral:rRNA from 2 species